GGGGAUGGGAAGGAAGCUCUCGGGGCUUCGGGUUGGUCAAGGUCACAGCGAAGUCUUCCGGUGGUCCGGGCACAGAAGCCGGGGCUGGCUCGGAGUCUCGGGGUGCCUCCCCCUUGGGAAGAAUUGGCAGUGGGAAAUGCAGCCGGGCUCCCACCCCGCCAUUGCCUCUUCCUCCUUUUCUGACUGAGCAAGGCCCUUCUUUCUGGACCUCGGUUUCUCCUGAAAAACACUAAUGGUCUCCAAGGUCUCUUUCAGCUCUGUGUGAUCUCCUAGGUCCCUUUCAGCUCUGUGUGAUCUCCUAGGUCCCUUUCGUCUCCAAGGUCCCUUUCAGCUCUGUGUGAUCUCCUAGGUCUCUUUCAGCUCUGUGAUCUCCUAGAUCCCUUUCAGCUCUGUGUGAUCUCCAAGGUCCCUUUCAGCUCCGUGUGAUCUCCUAGGUCCCUUUCAGCUCCGUGUGAUCUCCUAGGUCCCUUUCAGCUCCGUGUGAUCUCCUAGGUCCCUUUCAGCUCCGUGUGAUCUCCUAGGUCCCUUUCAGCUCCGUGUGAUCUCCAAGGUCCCUUUCAGCUCCGUGUGAUCUCCUAGGUCCCUUUCAGCUCCGUGUGAUCUCCUAGGUCCCUUUCAGCUCCGUGUGAUCUCCUAGGUCCCUUUCAGCUCCGUGUGAUCUCCAAGGUCCCUUUCAGCUCUGUGUGAUCUCCUAGGUCCCUUUCAGCUCCGUGUGAUCUCCUAGGUCCCUUUCAGCUCUGUGUGAUCUCCUAGGUCCCUUUCAGCUCUGUGUCCCCAUGGCCCAGGACUCCCUAAAUAUAGAUUCCUACGGAAGGGGCAGGGUGGGGAGGGGGCUCCCCGGGCUGUUCUGGCUCAGAGCAUCGGGGCUGCUGGCUGGUCAUCUAGCUGCCAGGUCUCCUUCC